rfam:Stegodyphus mimosarum contig100998, whole genome shotgun sequence.
GCCUUUGUGGUGUAACGGUAGAACACUCGAUGCGUAUUCGAGAGAUCCAGGUUCGAAUCUCGGUGAGGGCA